rnacentral:rRNA from 1 species
UGCCAGCCGCCGCGGUAACACGUAGGGGGCGAGCGUUGUCCGGAUUUAUUGGGCGUAAAGAGCUCGUAGGCCGCUUGGUAAGUCGGGUGUGAAAUUUCGAGGCUCAACCUCGGAACGCCACUCGAUACUGCCAUGGCUAGAGUACGGUAGAGGAGUGUGGAAUUCCUGGUGUAGCGGUGAAAUGCGCAGAUAUCAGGAGGAACACCAACGGCGAAGGCAGCACUCUGGGCCGAUACUGACGCUGAGGAGCGAAAGCAUGGGGAGCAAACAGGAUUAGAUA